UACGAAGGGUGCAAGCGUUAAUCGGAAUUACUGGGCGUAAAGCGCGCGUAGGUGGUUCAGUAAGUUGGAAGUGAAAUCCCCGGGCUCAACCUGGGAAUUGCAUUCAAAACUGGCUAACUAGAAUACGGGAGAGGGGGGUAGAAUUCCAAGUGUAGCGGUGAAAUGCGUAGAGAUUUGGAGGAAUACCAGUGGCGAAGGCGGCCCCCUGGCCCGAUAUUGACGCUGAGGUGCGAAAGCGUGGGGAGCAAACAGG
rnacentral:rRNA from 1 species